rnacentral:rRNA from 1 species
AAAUUGAAGAGUUUGAUCAUGGCUCAGAUUGAACGCUGGCGGCAGGCCUAACACAUGCAAGUCGAGCGGUAACACAGAGAGCUUGCUCUCGGGUGACGAGCGGCGGACGGGUGAGUAAUGUCUGGGAAACUGCCUGAUGGAGGGGGAUAACUACUGGAAACGGUAGCUAAUACCGCAUAAUGUCGCAAGACCAAAGUGGGGGACCUUCGGGCCUCAUGCCAUCAGAUGUGCCCAGAUGGGAUUAGCUAGUAGGUGGGGUAAUGGCUCACCUAGGCGACGAUCCCUAGCUGGUCUGAGAGGAUGACCAGCCACACUGGAACUGAGACACGGUCCAGACUCCUACGGGAGGCAGCAGUGGGGAAUAUUGCUCAAUGGGCGCAAGCCUGAUGCAGCCAUGCCGCGUGUAUGAAGAAGGCCUUCGGGUUGUAAAGUACUUUCAGCGAGGAGGAAGGC